CACGCAUGGCAGAGGGCAUCACAGGCAGAGGCAGCAAGCUGGGUAGCUGUGACCCCCCCGAAGUCUCCCCAGCCAUCGCGGGCCACUCUCAUCCGGUCACACCUCCCCAAAGCCUCACCUGCAAAAUGAGAAAACCAAGUUUUCAACGAGGGACUUUGGGAGGACGAAUCCAAGCCACGGCGUUUCCUGAAUCCCGGUGAAGAAGAAGGCGCGCGUUCUGGAGCCCGCAGGCCUUUCCCUGGAUGCUUGCUAAGCGCACCCCCCCCCCCCACUGCCGACGCCCCCAGGUCUUUUGUGAAGCUAAAUGGCAUUUUAAGAAUGCUCCACCGCUGGGAUGGCUUCCAGGUGACAGUGAUGAGUUUCAGAUUUACGGCCAGUUGCAGAUCUGAGACUCGUUUGAAAUGACCAGCUGCGGGCCAGGGUCUGCCACGGUGGUGGUGCUGGUGGUGGUGGUGCCCAGAACCCCAGCCAAUAACAUGGUGUUACUUACAUGCAGAGCGGGAGUUCCUUCCUCAGACUUCUCUGGAAACGCCCUCACACAUAGCCCUAAGGUGGUGUGAGCACUGUCCUCCCAGCGUGACAUGAGAACAGCUCGGGCUGUUCCAGAGACUGGAGAUGGGGUCUGCUGACUGGUCAUGCUCCUUCACAGAUGUGAGUAGUUGGUUGUAGGAGCCUCACCUGAGACUCCAGCCCUCCUGCCUGCAUCUCCUGGCCAGCUGUACACAAUCCUGUCCUAAUGGCUCCUGGGAGGUGCUAGAGUGUGAGCGGAAAAGUUAAUGGGAAGGCCGGGCCUCCGUCUAUGCAGCUGCUGGGGAAUCAUCAACCAUGCAGAGCUGAGACUUUUCCAUGGUGUGGCUGCUUUGUUGUCACCAUGCUCUGUAAGGAACCCAUCAUCUCUGUAAAUAAGUCCAAUAAACUCACUGGUUCCUCA
rnacentral:lncRNA from 1 species